CCUGAUGCAGCAACGCCGCGUGAGGGACGAAGGCCUUCGGGUUGUAAACCUCUUUUAGUAGGGAAGAAGCGAAAGUGACGGUACCUGCAGAAAAAGCACCGGCUAACUACGUGCCAGCAGCCGCGGUAAUACGUAGGGUGCAAGCGUUGUCCGGAAUUAUUGGGCGUAAAGAGCUCGUAGGCGGUUUGUCGCGUCUGCUGUGAAAACUGGAGGCUCAACCUCCAGCCUGCAGUGGGUACGGGCAGACUAGAGUGCGGUAGGGGAGAUUGGAAUUCCUGGUGUAGCGGUGGAAUGCGCAGAUAUCAGGAGGAACACCGAUGGCGAAGGCAGAUCUCUGGGCCGUAACUGACGCUGAGGAGCGAAAGCAUGGGGAGCGAACAGGAUUAGAUACCCUGGUAGUCCAUGCCGUAAACGUUGGGAACUAGAUGUAGGGGCCAUUCCACGGUUUCUGUGUCGCAGCUAACGCAUUAAGUUCCCCGCCUGGGGAGUACGGCCGCAAGGCUAAAACUCAAAGGAAUUGACGGGGGCCCGCACAAGCGGCGGAGCAUGCGGAUUAAUUCGAUGCAACGCGAAGAACCUUACCAAGGCUUGACAUAUACCGGAAACGGCUAGAGAUAGUCGCCCCGCAAGGUCGGU
rnacentral:rRNA from 10 species